rnacentral:lncRNA from 1 species
GUGUUUUAUAAUUGUUAGUGUGUUUAUGCACGUAGUGUUUGUAUAUUUUGCAUUUUGUGUUUUUUCCUUUUUUUCUUGUUGAAAACUGUAUCUCUGUACCAAAGUUAUGCAGUGCUGUUUGAGAAUAAAGGUAUAUAGAAUAUAUUAAUAAUUGUACGUUAAUUAUUGCAUUUGCAUCAUAACAGUUAUUUUGAAAUUAAUGAGUUUUUGUAUUUUUUAAAUAAAUGGAAAUGAUCUAACUUGUACAUUUACAUCAUACAAGUAUAACAGUACAGUGUGCUGUACAGGGAGGUGUAGUCGUUGUAGGUUUUAUAUCUACGUGAAUGUAUGCUUUGCAACAGUCGAUUCUAAUUUUCAAACUUCUUCAUGAAGCAGCGCUCAGAAGCAGCGACAUUGUUGCUUUAAGAUUCAUCCUCGUCUGACAGACAUCUCAUUAAAAUGAUCUAAUAUUCGACCCCGUUAAUUAACAUUUAUGUCCAAACAGACAAUACAAAAUCAUGUUUAUAUAACCACAUGUCUAUAUAGAAAACUAAGAAAUGCCCGGUGGUCAAGAAAAAACAUGACCUUGGCUCCCACAUUAUACAAGAUUUAUAUGCACUUCGCGUGACCUUUUGAAAUUUCCUUGACCAGGUCAUUGUAAUAUAAUGGCCGAAGUUUUCUACGGACGCACAGACCAAUUAAAUAGCUGACCAUAAUUAGCCUAUUGACCCUUUUCAACCGGUCAAGCUCAGGCCACUAAGUCUUACUUUAC